GACGUAGGGCGCGAGCGUUGUCCGGAAUUAUUGGGCGUAAAGCGCGCGCAGGCGGUCCUUUAAGUCUGAUGUGAAAGCCCACGGCUCAACCGUGGAAGGUCAUUGGAAACUGGGGGACUUGAGUGCAGAAGAGGAAAGUGGAAUUCCAAGUGUAGCGGUGAAAUGCGUAGAGAUUUGGAGGAACACCAGUGGCGAAGGCGACUUUCUGGUCUGUAACUGACGCUGAGGCGCGAAAGCGUGGGGAGCAAACAGG
rnacentral:rRNA from 1 species